GUGUUGUAUGAAAGGAGAAAAGGUUAGCACUCCCCUUGACAAGGAUGGAAAAGGCCAUUGGGCCUUACAACAUGCAUAAAUUAAGUCAUGACUACCUACUUUGUGUAGCAUCUAACCACUGGGUUUU
ensembl:snRNA